rnacentral:rRNA from 1 species
UGGGGGAUAUUGCACAAUGGGGGAAACCCUGAUGCAGCGACGCCGCGUGAGUGAAGAAGUAUGUCGGUAUGUAAAGCUCUAUCAGCAGGGAAGAAAAUGACAGUACCUGACCAAGAAGCCCCGGCUAACUACGUGCCAGCAGCCGCGGUAAUACGUAGGGGGCAAGCGUUAUCCGGAUUUACUGGGUGUAAAGGGAGCGUAGACGGUUAUGUAAGUCUGGAGUGAAAGCCCGGGGCCCAACCCCGGGACUGCUUUGGAAACUGUGUAACUGGAGUACAGGAGGGGCAGGCGGAAUUCCUGGUGUAGCGGUGAAAUGCGUAGAUAUCAGGAGGAACACCGGCGGCGAAGGCGGCCUGCUGGACCAUUACUGACGCUCAUGCACGAAAGCGUGGGGAGCAAACAGG